AGGUGCUGAACAGACACUCUCCUCCACAGAACGAAAACAAGAGGAAAUUUGUUUGACACCCUGUUGAUCAAAUUAAGGGAGAAACCAGAACACGGUUCUGAUAUGAAUUCAGUCCGUUUUUUCCUUAGAGGGACAUGGGAUCCAACGAAAAUCAUUUCUUUUGGGAAGCAGGGUUCUCAGUCCACCCAGUUCUUUCCCCAACUUUCAGCCUGAUUCCCCUCUGCCUCCCUGUGAUUGCUUGAAUGAGAAAUGCCCCCCAAAGGCUCAGGCUUGCAGUUAAAGAUGUGAUCUCUCAGCUUCCUGCUCAGGCUGCCUGCUGCGGAGCCUCCCAAGUCAGAUGCACUUGCGCUCUGGAAUCAUAAACCCCAGGAAACUCCUUCUUCCUGAAGUUGCCUUUGGGAGCUGCAAGUCAAAACUACAGUAAGAUACUACUUUGUACCCAUCAACUAUUACUUUAAAACAAAUCAAAAUACCAAAUGUUGGCACACAUAUGAAGAAAUUGGAACUUGAGCUCGCUGGUAGAUCAUAAGACAGUAUAUCUACUACUAAGAACAGCCCCCCUUACGGGAAUGAGACCAGGGCAUGGACAUCAAGGACCCCCAACCUCUCUUCACUGGACAUCUGGAAAAAUGGACACCCAACCACCGGACCAGUUCAUGUGAAUGCAACGUCACCACAGGCCUAGAACCCAGGGUGGUGACUAAAUGGCUUUCCCACAAGCUACCAUGCUGCCAUCCUACCCCACUCUCCUCCACCUCAGCUCGGGCUCUACCGUCACCUAACCCAGGCUCUCCUCCAACCCUUAAAACCACUCAUCACAGCACCCAGUCCCAUCCGUUCCCCGCCACUGUUGCCGAGAGACGAAGCAAAGAAGCCUUCCUUACUCUGCCUACCUGGAGCUCCCUCAGCCAUUCCAAACCUUGAAAGUUGGGGGAAUGAAAAGACAUCUCUUUGGAAGUUCCAGGCUGCUGGUGCUGUGAUGACGGAAAAGAGGAGGCUCCUGGAAAUAUAAUAAACAUGUCGCAAAGCUCUCUGGUAAUGGUUAUGGCAAGGACAACGCAGGAGCUUUUCAGCACCAUGUACCUUCUUCAUAGAGCCUCAGGAAAGGGGCUGGAGUCAAGGCUGCCACUCUGAGAACAAGGUCCCCCCUGGACCUAGGGACUCGUUAACAGUUGAUUAUCCCAUUUGGAAACUCAUAGUCUGUACAUUUACCAGGAAGUGGGGAGAAAGAGCAAAGACAUUUAAGAAAUACUUAACUCUGUAAUAAUCACUAGCCUAGAGGCUUUUAUUCCUGUAAUAAAAGUCCAGUAA